rnacentral:rRNA from 1 species
UACGUAGGGUGCGAGCGUUGUCCGGAAUUAUUAGGCGUAAAGGGCUCGUAGGCGGUUUGUCGCGUCGGGAGUGAAAACACGGGGCUUAACCCCGUGCCUGCUUCCGAUACGGGCAGACUAGAGGUAUGCAGGGGAGAACGGAAUUCCUGGUGUAGCGGUGAAAUGCGCAGAUAUCAGGAGGAACACCGGUGGCGAAGGCGGUUCUCUGGGCAUUACCUGACGCUGAGGAGCGAAAGUGUGGGAGCGAACAGG